rnacentral:ncRNA from 1 species
CCCCGAUAAAGGCAAACUCCGAGAGAUCGGAUGACGCAAAGCUAUAGGGUCCUAAUCCUGCGGAUAUGGAUAUGUAGGAAAGGAUAGCCAGUUACCGAA